UACGUAGGGUGCAAGCGUUGUCCGGAAUUAUUGGACGUAAAGAGCUCGUAGGCGGUUCGUCGCGUCGGCUGUGAAAACCUGAGGCUCAACCUCAGGCCUGCAGUCGAUACGGGCGGACUUGAGUACUGCAGGGGAGACUGGAAUUCCUGGUGUAGCGGUGAAAUGCGCAGAUAUCAGGAGGAACACCGGUGGCGAAGGCGGGUCUCUGGGCAGUAACUGACGCUGAGGAGCGAAAGCGUGGGGAGCGAACAGG
rnacentral:rRNA from 1 species